rnacentral:rRNA from 1 species
AGAGUUUGAUCCUGGCUCAGGAUAAACGCUGGCGGCGUGCAUAACACAUGCAAGUCGAACGAUGAAACUUAGCUGAUUUCUUCGGAAUGAAAUUAAGUGGAUUAGUGGCGAACGGGUGAGUAACACGUGAGUAACCUGCCUUACACAAGGGGAUAGCCUUUGGAAACGAAGAAUAAUACCCUAUAAAGUUAGUCAAUCGCAUGGUAGACUAACCAAAGAUUUAUCGGUGUAAGAUGGACUUGCGUCUGAUUAGCUAGUUGGUGAGAUAAAAGCCCACCAAGGCGACGAUCAGUAGCCGGCUUGAGAGAGUGUACGGCCACAUUGGGACUGAGACACGGCCCAAACUCCUACGGGAGGCAGCAGUGGGGAAUUUUGCACAAUGGGGGAAACCCUGAUGCAGCGACGCCGCGUGAUUUAGAAGGCCUUCGGGUUGUAAAAAUCUUUUUUAUGGGAUGAAAAUGACAGUACCAUAAGAAUAAGGUCCGGCUAAAUACGUGCCAGCAGCCGCGGUAAUACGUAUGGACCGAGCGUUGUCCGGAAUCAUUGGGCGUAAAGGGUACGUAGGCGGCCUAGUAAGUUAGAAGUGAAAUAAUAUAGCUCAACUAUAUAAAGCUUUUAAAACUGUUAGGCUUGAGAGAUGAAAGGGAAAGUGGAAUUCCUAGUGUAGCGGUGAAAUGCGCAGAUAUUAGGAAGAAUACCGGUGGCGAAGGCGACUUUCUGGUCAUCAUCUGACGCUGAGGUACGAAAGCGUGGGUAGCAAACAGGAUUAGAUACCCUGGUAGUCCACGCU